GUGUGAUGCUGGAUCACACAGAGGUCCAUGAAGACUACGCACAUAAAAACAGUGGUUGGAAAGAACCAGGCUUGGUGUCAGGAGAAUGGAGUCAGUCCCCUUUCCCCUCAUGAGCUGGGUGACCAUGGCCUGACUCUGAAAAUGCCAGGAGGAGUCCAGUGGGGAAGCAGGAGAGAAAAGAAGCAAAGAAGAAUUUCAACAUGAAAAUGUACUUGUUCGUUGUUCAUGAGCCACCGCAAAUCCAUUUUAAAGACUGUUUUGCACAACCUGCCACAA